rnacentral:misc_RNA from 1 species
GAUGAAGAACGCAGCGAAAUGCGAUAAGUAAUGUGAAUUGCAGAAUUCAGUGAAUCAUCGAAUCUUUGAACGCACAUUGCGCCCUCUGGUAUUCCGGGGGGCAUGCCUGUUCGAGCGUCAUUAUAACCACUCAAGCUCUCGCUUGGUAUUGGGGUUCGCGGUUCCGCGGCCCCUAAAAUCAGUGGCGGUGCCUGUCGGCUCUACGCGUAGUAAUACUCCUCGCGAUUGAGUCCGGUAGGUCUACUUCCCAGCAACCCCCAAUUUUUACAGGUUGACCUCGGAUCAGGUAGGGAUACCCGCUGAACUUAAGCAUAUCAAUAAGCGGAGGA